rnacentral:rRNA from 1 species
ACGAACGCUGGCGGCGUGCUUAACACAUGCAAGUCGAACGGAAAGGCCCUGCUUUUGUGGGGUGCUCGAGUGGCGAACGGGUGAGUAACACGUGAGUAACCUGCCCUUGACUUUGGGAUAACUUCAGGAAACUGGGGCUAAUACCGGAUAGGAGCUCCUGCUGCAUGGUGGGGGUUGGAAAGUUUCGGCGGUUGGGGAUGGACUCGCGGCUUAUCAGCUUGUUGGUGGGGUAGUGGCUUACCAAGGCUUUGACGGGUAGCCGGCCUGAGAGGGUGACCGGCCACAUUGGGACUGAGAUACGGCCCAGACUCCUACGGGAGGCAGCAGUGGGGAAUAUUGCCCAAUGGGCGGAAGCCUGAUGCAGCAACGCCGCGUGCGGGAUGACGGCCUUCGGGUUGUAAACCGCUUUCGCCUGUGACGAAGCGUGAGUGACGGUAAUGGGUAAAGAAGCACCGGCUAACUACGUG